UACGUAGGGUGCGAGCGUUGUCCGGAAUUAUUGGGCGUAAAGAGCUUGUAGGCGGUUUGUCGCGUCUGCCGUGAAAAUCCGGGGCUCAACCCCGGACUUGCGGUGGGUACGGGCAGACUAGAGUGUGGUAGGGGAGACUGGAAUUCCUGGUGUAGCGGUGAAAUGCGCAGAUAUCAGGAGGAACACCGAUGGCGAAGGCAGGUCUCUGGGCCUUACCUGACGCUCAGGCGCGAAAGCUAGGGGAGCGAACAGG
rnacentral:rRNA from 1 species